rnacentral:rRNA from 1 species
UACGAACUGUGCAAACGUUUAUUCGGAAUCACUGGGCUUAAAGGGUGCGUAGGCGGCUUGUCAAGUAGGGUGUGAAAGCCCCCCGGCUUAACCGGGGAAUUGCGCCCUAAACUGACGAGCUGGAGUGGGACAGGGGUGUGUGGAACUUCCGGUGGAGCGGUGAAAUGUGUUGAUAUCGGAAGGAACGCCGGUGGCGAAAGCGACACACUGGGUCUCAACUGACGCUGAGGCACGAAAGCCAGGGGAGCGAACGGG